GAUGAACGCUGGCGGCGUGCCUAAUACAUGCAAGUCGAACGAACUUAACUUAAUGAUUGAAGUGCUUGCACUGAUUGAUUUAAGAGCGGUGAGUGGCGGAUGGGUGAGUAACACGUGGGUAACCUACCUUCUAGCGGGGGAUAACAUCUGGAAACAGGUGCUAAUACCGCAUAAAUCUUGAAACCACAUGGUUUCAAGCUGAAAGGCGGCUUCGGCUGUCACUAGAAGAUGGACCCGCGGCGCAUUAGUUAGUUGGUGAGGUAAUGGCCCACCAAGACGAUGAUGCGUAGCCGACCUGAGAGGGUGAUCGGCCACAUUGGGACUGAGACACGGCCCAAACUCCUACGGGAGGCAGCAGUAGGGAAUCUUCCACAAUGGACGAAAGUCUGAUGGAGCAACGCCGCGUGAGUGAAGAAGGUUUUAGGAUCGUAAAGCUCUGUUGUUGGAGAAGAACACAGGUGAGAGUAACUGUUCAUCUGUUGACGGUAUCCAACCAGAAAGCCACGGCUAACUACGUGCCAGCCGCCGCAGUAAAAC
rnacentral:rRNA from 1 species